rnacentral:miRNA from 1 species
UCGCAGGGGAGAUGGGACCAAC